rnacentral:lncRNA from 1 species
UAUCAUUAUUUGUUCAUGAUAUGAUUGUUUAUCCAGGAAACUCAAGAGAAUAAACUGAAAAACUAAUAAGAGACUAUGAGAGAGGUCAGUAAGAUGGCCAGAAUCAAAAUAAAUACAGCUAGCAAAAUCCAGUUAGAAAAUGUAAAAGAAAAGAAAAGUCCCCAACACAAGUUCUUUUGUAACUUCCCAUGUCCUAAGAAAAUGGAGUGAGGAAGCAGCCCAAGGGCACUCAAAGGGCCCUGGUGGGGUGGAAGGGAAGGGGGCACGUGGGGUGGAAGGGAAGGGGGCACACAGGGUGGUGCUGCAGAGGCUGGGGAAGGAGGAGGAGGGAAAGCAACAGUUAGGCUUGAGCUGAGAGCUGCCCAGCCCUUGGGCCUGGUUUUCAGCAGCCCUUGGACAAUGAGACCUGGCAGUUCCCAAUGGGUCAGUGAGCCUGGUGGCUCCAGGCUGCAUUGGAUAUGGAAUAGGAAGCUGCAGUCCCUGAUGGAGAAUUUUCAUCCACUACAGGGCACAGAUUCCCAGCAAGUGAGACUCUAGCUGAAAGAGUGUUUCUGAACAUUUGAUGGGCUGAUUGCAAAUUGCUCCUCUGAAUUCAUUAAAGCAGAUUUCUCAGGAAAACCUGUCUGUGGCAAAGAGAGAGACCCAGCCAAUGUCCAAGCUCCACUCCAAUGUCGGGGAUUCACUCCCAGCUCUCUGCAUCCAGAUUCCCAGCCUCGUGGCACUGCCUUGCCUGGGGUGGCAUGAUUCACCUCGAGGCAGCCACCAACCAGGACUGCUGGUGCGAGGGGACUGGCUACUUUGCUCCCAGGGGCCGUCUUCAGAAGAUGCUGAAUAAUCUCUGGAUUUUGCAUCACUCACCAUGAGGGAAACCCCUCGGCCAAUAGCAUGACAGCUGGCCAGAUUUCCGGGUAAUAAACUCUUUUGUCCCCACUGCCUUACUUUUCUGCCCUUACUCCCUUUCUCUUCUGUCCUCACUCGCAGGCUCUACCUGCACUGAAAAAGAAUCACUGCUCCCACCUCCCAGCGCUACUGCUCUUGCCCAGAGAUGGAACAGUUACAUCCCCAGUGAGAUGUUACUAUGUAAAAAGAGGUUUGGUGCAAAGCAGUGGUGCUUCCAUGGUCGGAUUUUAGGCCCUGGGACAAUGUACAGUGGUCUUUAAGCCACUAAGGAUGUGAGGAUCAAAUUAUUCAGUGCCUGAAAGCAGGAAAUCAAUGAGGGGCAGUGUGGCGCUUCAAAUCCCUUCAGGAAGCUGCAGUGGCCCCGUGGUGUGGGGGAGGGAAGGGCAGGAGUGAGGAAAUGCACACUUUUCAAGCACCCACUACAGGCUUUACCCAUGAAAGUGAACGUGAAAGUGUUAAUUGUCCAGGCAUGUCUGACUCUUUGCAACCCCAUGGACUGUAGCCUGUCCCUAGAAUUCUCUAGGCAAGAAUACUUGAGUGGGUAGCCAUUCCCUUCUCCAGGGUGUCUCCCCAACCCAGGGAUCAAACCUGGGUCUCCUGCAUUGCAGGUAGACUCUUUACCAUCUGAGCCACAAGGCAAGCCCACAUGCUUCACCAAUGUGUCCCAUGAAAUAUACAACCAUAGGCCACAGGUGUUAUUUACACCUGGAUUGAAACCCUGGUCACAUGGAUUCCACAGCCCAUGUUCUCAGGCGCUGGCCCCUGGCUGAUCCUUAGAGCACCAAGCUUUACAAGGCUGAUAAGGCCCUGAUUCCUCACCAGAUGAUAAUCUCCUUCUCCUUGCAAACUCACCCUUCUGUUCUAUUGCCCACCUACCUCCGUCUCCUCACCUGUCUUGGUGCCUAGGGUUAGGAGUUUCCUACCCUUAGGAUCAGAACAUCUCCCUGUGGGUGCUCUGUGACCAUUUAGGUCUCCCUAUGAGGGCCCACACUCAGCACCAUGCCCUCCAGUGAAGGGAGCUUUUCAGGCAGGACAAGGGUUGCGACACAGAAAGGAAAGAGGAGCACAGAUUUCUUUUUCAGGGUCCAAAAAGAGCCUGAAAAAGAAUCUUCGUGCCCCUUUAUUUUCUUGGACUCCAAAAUAAC